ACGGAGAAGGUUAGGUCUACCAGGCGUUGGUUGUCCUGGGGAAAGGCGGUAGGCAUGAUUCUUAGGCAAAUCCGGGAAUCUCUAUGCCGAGCACCGAGACGAGUCCUAUGAGGACGAAGUGACUGACACCACGCUUCCAGGAAAAGCCACUAAGCUUCAGCUGUAGAAAAACCGUACCGCAAACCGACACAGGUAGGCAGGGUGAGAAUCCCAAGGCGCUUGAGAGAACUCGGGUGAAGGAACUAGGCAAAAUGGCACCGUAACUUCGGGAGAAGGUGCGCCUCUUGGUGUGGUCACGUGCGUGACUGAGCAUCGAGGGGUCGCAGUAACCUGGCCGCUGCGACUGUUUAUCAAAAACACAGCACUCUGCAAACACGAAAGUGGACGUAUAGGGUGUGACGCCUGCCCGGUGCUGGAAGGUUAAUUGAUGGGGUCAGCCGCAAGGCGAAGCUCUUGAUCGAAGCCCCAGUAAACGGCGGCCGUAACGAUAACGGUCCUAAGGUAGCGAAAUUCCUUGUCGGGUAAGUUCCGACCUGCACGAAUGGCGUAACGACAGCGGCGCUGUCUCCACCCGAGACUCAGUGAAAUUGAAAUCGCUGUGAAGAUGCAGCGUUCCCGCGGCAAGACGGAAAGACCCCGUGAACCUUUACUAUAGCUUUACACUGAACGUUGAGUUCUUCUGUGUAGGAUAGGUGGGAGGCUAUGAAACCAGGACGCUAGUUCUGGUGGAGCCAUCCUUGAAAUACCACCCUGAAGUGCUUGACGUUCUAACCUAGGUCCGUAAUCCGGAUCGGGGACCGUGUAUGGUGGGUAGUUUGACUGGGGCGGUCUCCUCCCAAAGAGUAACGGAGGAGCACGAAGGUACGCUCAGCGCGGUCGGACAUCGCGCACUGUGUGCAAAGGCAUAAGCGUGCUUGACUGCGAGAUCGGCGGAUCAAGCAGGUACGAAAGUAGGUCUUAGUGAUCCGGUGGUUCUGUAUGGAAGGGCCAUCGCUCAACGGAUAAAAGGUACUCCGGGGAUAACAGGCUGAUACCGCCCAAGAGUUCAUAUCGACGGCGGUGUUUGGCACCUCGAUGUCGGCUCAUCACAUCCUGGGGCUGUAGCCGGUCCCAAGGGUAUGGCUGUUCGCCAUUUAAAGUGGUACGCGAGCUGGGUUCAGAACGUCGUGAGACAGUUCGGUCCCUAUCUGUCGUGGGCGUUGGAGAUUUGAGGGGGGCUGCUCCUAGUACGAGAGGACCGGAGUGGACGUUCCGCUGGUGUUCGGGUUGUCAUGCCCAUGGCAUUGCCCGGUAGCUACGAACGGAAGUGAUAACCGCUGAAAGCAUCUAAGCGGGAAGCACGCCCCAAGAUGAGAUCUCCCGAGAGCUUGACUCUCCUAAAGGCACCAUCAAGACUAGGUGGUUGAUAGGCACGGUGUGGAAGUGCAGCAAUGCAUUGAGCUUACGUGUACUAAUGAGCCGUGAGGCUUGACCAA
rnacentral:rRNA from 1 species